ensembl:lincRNA Gm26885 predicted gene, 26885
GUCGCGGUGGAGAACCCCGCAGUUGUGGCAAUGCCGCACGGCCUCCAGCACCUGCCAGAAGAAUCCUCGGGCCAGGUCCUCCUGUAGGGCUCCUCGUUCGGUGAUAAAGUCGAAGAGGUCUUGCACCGGUUCGGGCCUCUCCAGGAUCAGCACGAAACUAUCGGGCCUCUCGAACCAGUCCAGAAGUCUAAUGACGCCCGAGAAGUCCGAGCUCACCUUCUUCAACAGGACCACUUCCAUGGGCACUCGGGUGCCAUUGGGCUGCAGAGUGAGGGCGAGGGUUAGCGCGCCGGUUCCGGCACGCCCGUCGCCACCCACCCACCCAUGAGAGGGUCUCUGGCUCCGGCUCACUCACCAGUUCUCCCCAAUCGGAAAUCCGGUCCUUCUCCACGUGCUUAAUGGCCACCUGGAAGAAGACCCCCGAGUCUCCAUCAGACCCUCCUGCUCAAAGCAUCCCUCCGCGCGCCCUCCCCGAGGCGGCGUUGCCCACUCACCGGCAAGUUGUCGGCGACGCGGAUGCCAGAGUAGACCGAGCCGAAGCCACCGCUGCCCAACAGCGGGCCCACCUGGUACUGCGACUCCAGGGGCUCCUUCUCUUUGCCUAGGAAAGAGGCACGGGACACUCAGCGCGCUCGACCCACGCGGGGGUCUCCCGGCGUCCCAACGACCCGCGCGCCCAGGGUGGGGUGGGGACACUCACCCGGCGCCAGCUUGGUGGCGUGCAGGUCGUUGCAGGGCGCGGCGCGCAGGCAUUUGUAAAAUGUUGAUGGCCAAGCAUGAUACCUCAUGCCUGAGACGCCAGCUCUCAGGAGGCCCCCCGGCAAGUUCAAGGCCAGCUUGCUCUACAUGAUCCAAAGAAGCGUCUUUCUCUGAUUCCUUUUAUCUGGAAGAACUGAGAGGAGACGGGCGAACGGUUGUGAGAAUCUCUUUAAGGGGCAGUCCUGGAAUGAGUGAAGUGCACCGCUGACUCCUGGCCGCCUGUCUCUCCUAUGGCCUGGCAUCUUCACAGAUGCAGAUUUUGAAAAUGCAUUUCUCCUUUAUCUGAGAGCCCCUCCUGCCCCCUCCUCCAGGACCGACACACUAUGCGUGGAACCUGUGAUGCUAGGCCAUCCUUCCUAUGGUUUGACAUAUUGUCUCACCAGUAAAGGGUAGAGCUGGAACCCACCAUGAAAUCCUGGCCCAGCAAAAUACGUGCCCUAGAGAAGAAGGACCACAAACUCAAGGUCACCUGGGGCUACAUACUUAAGAUCCAGUCUCAAAACUCCAAAUCAAACAAAAAUUGCGCUAAUAAUAAAUUGUAGGAAGUAAGAAGAUGACACCAGGUAGCAGGUCUCAGGCAGCCUCUUUCUGGCUUUAGACUCAUGAUGGCUUAGAGUAGUUUUGAACUCCCAGUAUCAUCUUCUAAAUGUGCAUCUCGACAAAAAAAAAAGGAAUGACCACGCCCAGCUAUAUACAUCUUUUUAAAAUUUAUCAUGUAUAUGUCUGUGAGGAUGUGCAUGGGGUGGGGGUGGGGGGGCUACUCUAGGAGACCAGAGGCACUUGAUCCCUUGGGAUGUUGCCUGAUGUGUGUUCUGGGAACCGAACUCUGGUCUUCUGUAAUAAUAGCAAAGAUCACUAUCAACCUCUGAGCCAUCUCAUGCGGUUUACAUGGAUGUAUUUGAUAUAUACCUAAUAAUGGUAUUUCCUUUG